UGAGAUUAGCUCAGUUGGUUUAGAGCAUGGUGCUAACAACACCAAGGUUGUGAGUUCAGUCCCUGUACACUGAA